GAUGAAGAACGUAGCGAAAUGCGAUACGUAAUGUGAAUUGCAGAAUUCCGUGAAUCAUCGAAUCUUUGAACGCACCUUGCGCCUCUUGGUAUUCCGAGGGGCAUGCCUGUUUGAGUAUCAUGAACACCUCAACUCUCAUGGUUUGCCAUGAUGAGCUUGGACUUUGGGGGUCUUGCCGGCCUAUGGGUCGGCUCCUCUCAAAUUAAUCAGCUUGCCAGUGUUUGGUGGCAUCACAGGUGUGAUAACUAUCUACGCUUGUGGUUUUCCAUCAGGUAACCUUCAGUGAUGGAGGUUCGCUGGGGCUCAUAAAUGUCUCUCCUCAGUGAGGACAGCUUUUUUGAACGUUUGAUCUCAAAUCAGGUAGGACUACCCGCUGAACUUAAGCAUAUCAAUAAGCGGAGGA
rnacentral:misc_RNA from 1 species